rnacentral:tRNA from 1 species
CAGGGAGACAACAAAAUGUUUAAUAUUAUUAUUUUGUCACCUUAGGUCGAUCGGUAUCUCACGUUCUUAAUUUAUUAAGAAUUUCAUUUCCUAAGUUUUUCUAGGUCACACCCAUUAUUUUUCCUGGGCCAUUAGCUCAGGUGGUUAGAGCGCACCCCUGAUAAGGGUGAGGUCCCUGGUUCAAGUCCAGGAUGGCCCAUAUCUCUAUGUUGGGGGUAUAGCUCAGUUGGUAGAGCGCCUGCUUUGCAAGCAGGAUGUCAGCGGUUCGAGUCCGCUUACCUCCACUGAUUACCACCUCUUCCAUAAUCUGUAGAAAGGAAAUGUUUUGAGUUGUGAUCAAAUUCUGAACGAAUCUAGCUUCCUAAUGUAACUAUUAAGAUGCUGGACUCAUUGAAUAAAUUUCAUUGUUUUCAGAGAACCUUGACAACUGCAUAGAUUAUUUUUUAAAGACAAUAAGCAUCUUUAACGAUGCAGAUUUAUUAUUUGUGCAAAUGCAUUAAUAACAAUUCUAUUAAGCUGAUGCUUCAAUUUUGAAGUUAUU